rnacentral:rRNA from 1 species
CAAGCCCUGGAAACGGGGUCUAAUACCGGAUAACACUCUGUCCCGCAUGGGACGGGGUUAAAAGCUCCGGCGGUGAAGGAUGAGCCCGCGGCCUAUCAGCUUGUUGGUGGGGUGAUGGCCUACCAAGGCGACGACGGGUAGCCGGCCUGAGAGGGCGACCGGCCACACUGGGACUGAGACACGGCCCAGACUCCUACGGGAGGCAGCAGUGGGGAAUAUUGCACAAUGGGCGAAAGCCUGAUGCAGCGACGCCGCGUGAGGGAUGACGGCCUUCGGGUUGUAAACCUCUUUCAGCAGGGAAGAAGCGAAAGUGACGGUACCUGCAGAAGAAGCGCCGGCUAACUACGUGCCAGCAGCCGCGGUAAUACGUAGGGCGCAAGCGUUGUCCGGAAUUAUUGGGCGUAAAGAGCUCGUAGGCGGCUUGUCACGUCGGAUGUGAAAGCCCGGGGCUUAACCCCGGGUCUGCAUUCGAUACGGGCUAGCUAGAGUGUGGUAGGGGAGAUCGGAAUUCCUGGU